rnacentral:rRNA from 1 species
GACGAGGGGUCCAAGCGUUGUUCGGAAUCAUUGGGCGUAAAGCGGGUGUAGGUGGCUCUCUAAGUCAGAAGUGAAAGCCCCAGGCUUAACCUGGGAAGUGCUUUUGAUACUGGAGAGCUUGAAUGUGGGAGAGGAUCGUGGAAUUCCAGGUGUAGUGGUGAAAUACGUAGAUAUCUGGAGGAACACCGGUGGCGAAGGCGGCGAUCUGGCCCAACAUUGACACUGAGACCCGAAAGCGUGGGGAUCAAACAGG